GGGUCCCUGGAGAACUAGUGGUUAGGCCACAGCACUCUCACUGCUGUGGCAUGGGUUCAAUUCCUGGUCCCA
rnacentral:tRNA from 1 species